rnacentral:rRNA from 1 species
GACGAACGCUGGCGGCGUGCUUAACACAUGCAAGUCGAGCGGGAACCUCGGGAGGGGUAACCUUUCCGAGGGGAGAGCGGCGAACGGGUGAGUAACACGUGGGCAACCUGCCCCGGACACCGGGAUAACCCAGGGAAACCUGAGCUAAUACCGGAUACUCCGGCACGAUCGCAUGGUCGUGCCGGGAAAGGCUCCGACGGUCCGGGAUGGGCCCGCGGCCUAUCAGCUUGUUGGUGAGGUAACGGCCCACCAAGGCGACGACGGGUAGCUGGUCUGAGAGGACGGCCAGCCACACUGGGGACUGAGACACGGCCCAGACUCCUACCGGGAGGGCAGCGAGUGGGGAAUCUUGCGGCUAAUGCGCGAAAGCGUGACGCAGCGACGCCGCGUGAGGGAU